rnacentral:ribozyme from 1 species
UUAUUAACUCCGCCUGUAGCUCUUUCAGUGUUACUGCCGGUUCCAAGCCCGGGUAAAGGAGGAGGGUUGG